UCAGGUUUGGGACUGUUUUUGUGCCCUUUCCAGCUGCACUUUUGGAGCCUUAUUUGGCUUAUUUUAAUGAAGAUUUCAGGGGCUGUUUUGCACUGGAUCUGGAUAUCUCACAAGGCUGAUUUUAAGGGAGAAAAUAAGGAGGUUUAGUGGUGCGACGCAGCUAGAUUUCGGACAUCUUUCAGCUGCUUUUUUCAGUGAUUAUUUGGGGCGAAUUUGAAGCUAUUUUUGACUGGUUUAAGGGUGUUUUUGGAGCUUAACUUCGUGGCUGGAUUGGGGAAGAGAGUUGCUGCAUUUUGCAGCAACUUUGAAGCUGGAUAUUGCUGUUAAUGGAGGUGAAUUUUGGGGCAGAUUCAAGGUGAGCUUUGGAUGGUGUUUGCUGGUUGGUGGGUGGCGUUUUGGGGGGUUCAAGGGCUGUUUUGAGGAGGUUUCAGCUGGG
rnacentral:lncRNA from 1 species